UGUUAUUUUGGCAGAUUAGUGCAUUAAAUUUAGAAUUUAAAAAUAUAAUUUAUUUUAUAAGUAAUAU
rnacentral:tRNA from 1 species